UGGUGACCUGGGAAUCAAUGUGUGAGGUGGUGCUAUGUAGCAGGAACCCCUCUUGCUUUGCAAAUAGUUUUUUGUUUGUUUUCCUUUUUGCCCAAUAGAGCCCUGCUCUACUGACCCUUCAAUGUGCCCGUGUGCCUAAAUAUUCCUGGUCGUGUGAAAAGAACCCAGGUAUUAGCUGAACUAAGGAGCACAAUUCUGCAACAUUUUGGCACCCAAACACGGGGCUUGAGAAAUGAAUGCAAUUGGAGAAACUGGUUGUUUUACCAGGCGUUGAUUGGAAAUGUGUGCUUCCCUUUAAGCAGUCAAGCUCAACUUGCAGAACUGAUGGGAACCCCUUGGGAAAACUGGCCUCAAAUGUUUGUCUACACAGUCCACAUACAGGGUUCUUAACCUGCGGUGAGUAAAGAAUGUCACUUUCCAACAGGCCCAGAUAUCAUAUGCUCUUGGGACCUCAAGAAGAGAGGAGUUUACCCAAUUCAUAGGUGUGUGAGGAUAAAAACCUAGGGCUGGGCUCAGCUUUAAAUGGUCUUAUCUGAGAUUCUUUGUGAAACAGAUUUUCAUGAAAGCCAAUCUAGAGGGCCUACGUAGAAAUAAUUGUUUUUGCUGCACUUUAUGCACAUAAUCAAGCCAAUUAUAAGACUAAAGUCUAUAUUGCAAGCAACACACUCCUAUUAUGAUUUGUUUUUAACAGAAAUGAGGACGAGACAGAGAGAAAUUAUGUUUCAAAACUUAUCAUCAUUAGUUUCUAGACUUAUUAUUUCUUUUUAAGUUUUUACCUACAUUUUAGACUGACCCUGCUUGUGCCUGUGAACCAACCAACAAUCUCUGGCUGCAGCUCAGAAAGGACAAAAGAGAAUGGGAAACACUUUCUGAAAAUGUCAGAACUCUUGAAAACAUGGAUGAGGAAAAGCAUAAGUACUGCUUUAUGCUUUUCUUAUGAAUUUUAAAAGAUGUAAUUUAAAGGUACUUUAAAGUGAUAUUUGUGCCCUUGUAACUGAUUCAAAGUAGACUGCUAAGGACAAUAAGUAAUAAGAGUCUACAAAUAUCAGUAAAUUAUGAGAAAAAACGGUCUAAUGGUACUUAAAAUUGCAUUGUGAUUUAUUAAAUAACAUUGAACAGCUCCACCUGUAACAUUAAGAUUCCAUUUGAGCAUAUAGAAAAUAUAUUUAUCGCAACCUGAAGUGAUUUGGAAAGUAUGCUGGGAAGAAAAUAUAUUUACAAAUUAGUCUCAGAGGGUAGGUAUCCUGUAGCCAGAUGGAAUAAGAAGAGAGGGAAGGGAGAUUUUGUUCAAAGGGGGAGCAUAAGCUAAGGAAUAAAGCCACAAACAAUGAUUAAAUUAGGUAAAGUGCAAUUAGCUGAAUAUUGCAUAAGCAUACAUAUGGGAAGAAGUGGAAAAAGGAGUGACAAUAUGAAGCUAAAGGGUUUGAAGUGUUCAAGAUAAUACUAGGCUUCCUAGCCUAUUCCGAGACAUCUUGUUUUAGAGUGCAAUAGAUAAGAACUCUAAGGAUGAAAGUAGGAGACAUGCAUUCUAGUCUACGUUUUGGUUAAUGGACUGAAAGUGAAAGAUGGACUGAAAUUGGGGGAUGGAAUAAAAAUGUGAUAGAAUAGAAAAUAGAAAAAGCAAUUAGCCUAAUGUCAUUGAUACUUAGAGAAAAUAUGGAAAAUAGUAAAUUAGUGAUAUAUAUCUUUUCUAAUUCACCAGGGUGAGUGAACAAAGGAAAUCGGAUUUAAAAGUAUUCAUGACAUAGAUGCAAUAAGGUUUCUCAGUCAGACAUAGCAAAUUGAGGGAAGGGAAGAUUUAGAGGAUUGGAAAAUGUCUUGCUUGUAGACUAAUAGGAUAUCAAUAAGCCAUAUGAGCAAUAAUUUGAAAUAGUUUUUGUAAAGUAUCAUGAAGGUAAACCCUGUUUAGAACAAAUUAGAUUUGAAGUACUUGUGACAAAUGCAAUUGACAAUGCCUUUAUGCAGCUGGAAAAUUGUUGCUUAGCAGAAAAGCUUGUGCUGGACAAAUAGAUGUCCAAAUUGAAUAGAUGUUUUCUUAAGCUGAACUAAUUGAGACAAAUAUCCUUAUUAAAUCAAAAAAUUAAAAAUUGAAAUAACUUACCUAUGAUAGGGUAAAUAAUGUUAUUAAUAUACACAAGAAAUAUGUGAUGUAUAUGUGUAUGUACAUAUGUAUACAUAGUAAUAAUACAUAGUGCUAUUUUUAAAUGAUAUUUUACAUAGUGCUUUUUUAAAUGAUUUUUCAAUCAUCGUUGUUGGUCUGUGUUAUUUUAAUCAUCAAAGCUGAUUGAUUUCUGUUUUUGUGUUUUUUUUUGUUUUUUUUGAGGUGGAGUCUCACUCUGUCACCCAUGGUGGAGUACAGUAGUGCGGUCUUAGCUCACUACAAACUCCACUUCCCUGAUUCAAGUAAUUCUUGUGCCUCAGCCUCUCGAGUAGCUUGGAUUGCAGGCAUGCACCACCACGAGCUGCUAAAUUUUUUGUAUUUUUUGUAGAGGGGUUUUGCCAUGUUGGCCAAGCUGGUCUCAAACUCCUGACCUCAAGUGAUCCGCCCUGGCUUCCCAAGCCCAGCUGAUUCCUGUUUAAAUAAAAACUUACAAAGAUCUUCCCACAAGUACUUUAUCUUACAAUUUACUGAACAAUAGAGGCAGUGAAGAUGUUUUUCAGAAAGCAAUUGUGAUCCUGACAUUUUCUUCUUAUAAUCCUGUGCUUUCCUCAUUUUUUUAUAUUAAAAGUAAUAGUUCUUGUGAUGGCAACUAGGAUUUGUAACAACAUGUACCCUCAUUUCCUGCAUGACCUUUUUUAUGUCACUUCUUCACAUGCAAAGUAUACUCCCUCAGUGUCAUUACAUUAUUUGAUUUUUGCCCUUUCCCUCACCUUUCCAUGUGUUUAUUUGCCUAUGCCCAUCUCCUAGUCACAUUUUAUCUAGUUAACGCCAACUUGACUUUCAAUGCUGUUCAAGAUUUACCUCAAUCUCAAGUGUUUUCUCUUUAUAUUCCAUACACGCUUAGCUUGGCUGCCAAUCCUCUUGGCUGCCAAAGAAUCCCAAAUUAUCUCUUUCAAAAAUACAAGAAAUAAAGGAUGGAGGAUAGGAAGGAGGGUGGUCAGGAAAGAACAAAGAAAGGAGGGGAGAGGAAAAAAAGAGAGAAAGAAAGAGAAUUAAAGUUAAGGAGGAAGAAUUUCACACUGAAUUAAAAUUGAUAAUAUUCAGGAAUGAUUUUAUAGUAGGCAUACAUUGAUAAAUAUUAGUUAAAUUAAUGAAUUAUUCCAAAAGAUCAUGAUUUGUAAAAAUUACCCUGAAGCACUUUAGGAAUAUUACAUUGAAAUAGGUAUGCAAUUUCUAAAGAAACUGGACUGCAAAAAUAGCCAUUGUGUGUACCUGUGGACCAGAAUAUUAUAUUUUGCUUAAGUUUGAAGUGUUAAAGUGCCCAACGUGCUCUUAUUUUAACCUAGCAAAUUUUCAGCAGAACUUAAGCUCAUAUAGUAUUUGAUUUUUUCAUUUCUCACAACUGUUGGAAUUCUGUUUUAUUGAAAAUUAUACAAUAAAAUGUUAAAAAAUCUUUGUUCCUGCAGUUAUGCAAUCUUAUGCCAAAGUCAAUAAAUUAUUAAAUUAAAAUCAAACCCACUAAGCCUAACAAUUUGAGAAAAUGAUUAUUAAAACAUAUACCAUUUAGAAGGGCAAUGCCUUUUUAAUAUUAUAGUGAAGACAACCCUAUCAAUUAUUUAAUACACCAAGAAUACAAGGAUAUAAAAUCUUUUUCUCUCAUAUAUCACAUUAUCUGAUGUAUUUAGCUGUGAUGACAUUCCAGAAAACAUCACUUUUUAAAAUUUCUAAGAUUUUAUUAUGUUGCUAGCAAAUCGAUUUUUUUCAAGUACUGUAACAAAAUCCCUAAAUGGGCUUUAUGAGAACUAUUUUCAGUGUGAUAUUAAUCAUAUUUUAUUUAUCAUCCAUACAUAGAUGGUAGCUUAUCUGGUAUUCCUAGUGUUUGAAGUGAAGAGUAACACACACACACAUCCCAAUACCAAUUUAAUUGAUAAAUAUAUAAUCAUUUGUUUUCAAAUAUUUAUGUUGAUACUUGCUUGUGUACUUACUUGUAAUGUAGGUCUGUAAAAGGGACUGUUUUCUUUCUGUGAAACUGAAGCUUAAAGCAGUGCUUGUCACAAAUUCAAAAUCACCUUGCUUUGUCAACAUUUUCAGAUGUUUUUGGCUCAGUCUGAUGACAGCAUCAGUGCAGUAAAGGGAUCUUAUUGAAAUGUUUUAACUAAAGAUAAAAUGCCACCACUAGGAGAAAAAUAAAAUCAAGGAAAUAAACAGAAAAUCAAUAAAUGUGAAAUGUAUUAUAAAUUUAUAUAAUAACAAUGUUGUAUGCUAUAAACAUCUCACUUUGUAAAAUUAACAAGAAUUCAGUGAGGCAGAUCAUUUUCUAUGUGUUCAGAAGUCAAGUCUUUGAUGGCUAAUUUUUAUAUUACUUCAUUACAAUAUCUCUACUGAAGCAAAAUAAUUGCAAAUCUUUUUGAAUGAAAUCAAUUUAUCUUUAAUUUUAGAUAAUAUUUGGUAUAGUUGGCAUAGUUUUGUCACAAAGCAUAGCUAACAUCAAUGUAGCCUUACGACUUCAAAUGUCUUUAUAGAUCUUUUCUGAAAUUGCAAAAUUUUACUUUGAAAUUAUUGUUAAUAUUUACGUUGCACAACCACAAAUGUAGAAAUAAAAUUAUAAAGUCUCCAGAUAAUGUUUUAUUUUAACCACACAUAUGUUGUGAUAGUUUCAAAUAAAUGAAAGCUCUACUGA
ensembl:lncRNA PURPL p53 upregulated regulator of p53 levels